rnacentral:rRNA from 1 species
CUCAGAUUGAACGCUGGCGGCAGGCCUAACACAUGCAAGUCGAACGGUAACAGGAAGCAGCUUGCUGCUUUGCUGACGAGUGGCGGACGGGUGAGUAAUGUCUGGGAAACUGCCUGAUGGAGGGGGAUAACUACUGGAAACGGUAGCUAAUACCGCAUAACGUCGCAAGACCAAAGAGGGGGACCUUCGGGCCUCUUGCCAUCGGAUGUGCCCAGAUGGGAUUAGCUAGUAGGUGGGGUAACGGCUCACCUAGGCGACGAUCCCUAGCUGGUCUGAGAGGAUGACCAGCCACACUGGAACUGAGACACGGUCCAGACUCCUACGGGAGGCAGCAGUGGGGAAUAUUGCACAAUGGGCGCAAGCCUGAUGCAGCCAUGCCGCGUGUAUGAAGAAGGCCUUCGGGUUGUAAAGUACUUUCAGCGGGGAGGAAGGCGACAGGGUUAAUAACCCUGUCGAUUGACGUUACCCGCAGAAGAAGCACCGGCUAACUCCGUGCCAGCAGCCGCGGUAAUACGGAGGGUGCAAGCGUUAAUCGGAAUUACUGGGCGUAAAGCGCACGCAGGCGGUCUGUCAAGUCGGAUGUGAAAUCCCCGGGCUCAACCUGGGAACUGCAUUCGAAACUGGCAGGCUAGAGUCUUGUAGAGGGGGGUAGAAUUCCAGGUGUAGCGGUGAAAUGCGUAGAGAUCUGGAGGAAUACCGGUGGCGAAGGCGGCCCCCUGGACAAAGACUGACGCUCAGGUGCGAAAGCGUGGGGAGC